CAUCAUCUCUCAGCAGCAAAUGUCUUGCCUCGGUGCAGCAGCCUCCAGCUACACCCUUCCUUUCAGAUGCCCUGCUUUGCCCAGCUGAUAACGAUGCUGUUGCAGCAUCCAGGACCACAGGGAUGGAGGCUUCCCAGGAGCAGGGACUCUCUUUCUCUUUGCCAUCUGCAGCCUCCAGCUCACUUUGGGGGAAGCUAGCUGCCAUGUUAUGAGGACACUCAAGCAGCUCUAUGGAGCGGUCCACACGUGAGGAACUG